rnacentral:lncRNA from 1 species
AAUCUCAAGUUGGGUGCGCAAAUGCCUGUGGUACGUAUGUAUGUAUAUAGGAAAAUAUAUGUAGAAAGAGGUAGAAAGUAUGAAGCUUGAGACUCGUGAGUGAUGAAAAAGGUAGAAGAAGUCUACUUUUUCCUCCUACUCUUAAGUUGCUCUCAAUACCGUGACAUGUCUGAAAGGAUUCUGCAGGAAGCUUGUGUAACGAAAUGAUCUUUGGUAAGGGGUGAAAGGGAAAGCUGGAACAGAGUAAAGAGGACCAGUUUUCAUCAUGUUUGCACAAAAAGGGUUAGCAGAAGACUGGGAAUAGAAGAAGAGGGAUAAUGGUCAGGAGACGCAAGGUUUUGUAUUCUUGUGAAAAUGCAAAUGCUUGAGGGUAAGUUAGAAGUCUGGUUUGUGUUCAAGAAAGAAGUGGGGGAGGGAAAUCAAGGAGGGAAGAAGAUGGCAAAUGCCAAUGGAAACGAUGCUUCUUUUCCUGGUGGUGGUGGUGGUGGAAGGUCCAUCAUCUAAUAUAUAACACAUGUGGAGGUGUGAAAUCAUAUGUAGACAAAAGGUUGGGUUCUGGAAGGACAGAUUUGAGUGAAAUUAAGUUGGUGUUUUCAUUUCAGGAUCCAGAACUGGACCAGACAGCUUAAAGCAAGAACAUUUGAAGAGGGAGCGCUGAAGUGUCAUGGAAGCCACGUGGACCAAUGGGUGGCUGUUUUAGAGGUUUGGCACAUUUGGUGAAAUCAAGUCUUUCCCGACAGACUGACUGGUUAGUGAUUUCCUUCUCUCAUUAUUACUCAUUCCGUGAGCUCCUCUUCCUCCCUCCUCUCCUUAAUGCACAUGCUAACGUUGUUUUGUCUAAUGCAAAUGCACAAAAUUCAAUCAUUACAGCCAUGAAUCCGUCCAAACUAAGAUCCCCUCCAUCCAUCCAUCCAUCCAUCCAUCCAUCCACCAACAUAAUGAUAUAUAAAACCUUACGGCUCUCACCUAACCAAGAGACUUGCCAUUUAUCUUACUGGAGAAAUUUAUUAUUAUUAUUAUUAUUAUCAAGUUUUUAUCUUUUUCACCGACUACCCAUUAAUUGAAUGGCCCCAUGACUUGGAUUCCUUGAUGAUCCGCCGCAUGUUCCAUUGUUAUCCGAAGCUACUGAGGCGAUAUGGAUUUGAUUUCGUUUCUUUUCAUUUCUUUUCGAGUUUGACAUGAUUGCUCCGGCUCUUUUGCGUUUGAUAUAUGUUUGCGUUAUUUUUAAGAUGAACAAACCCUUAUGCUGAUAAAGUCGGCCAACUUUCCAGGCAAACGGGAAGCCAGAAGAAGAAGCCUACAAAACUUCAAAACAAAAAGAUAGCAAGUCCGUCCGUCUAAAUGAUUAUUAUUCUACUUCAAAUGUGGAAAGAAUUGGUGGGGACUGGGGACCCAUUUGUGGGGAAAAGGGUAUCUCCUACUCCCACGAGAUUCCUCUGCUAAAAAGGGUGGCAGAUUUUAGCCAGUCGGAAGAGAAUAGGGGCAGCAGGGAAAGGCAGCCAGGUCAACUGAAUUUGCUUGCACCUACCUUGGCCGUAAGCAAGUAUGGUACUAAUCAAAGUGAAAUUCCGUCUUAUCCGAGAAUAAUUAGGGAGGAUCAUGGAAAUCAAAGUUGACACGAUGCAGCUACUCGCAUCAUGCAUUUUGUUAGUGAAACUUUCCCUGUGAGAAAGGAUGAAGAAUACAGUUCCUUUUCAACGUGAUUUCUAUUGCUAAAAGGCGAAAGGAAAAGGGAAGGUGGGGUAGAAGAAGAAGAAGAAGAAGACGAAGAAGAGGAAGAAGAAAGUGAAAUAGCUUAUUAAGAAGAAUAUUUAGUGAUAAGUGAUGGUGGUGGAUGAUGGGUUAUUUCAAGUCUUUUCCAGAGGAAGGAUCUGCCGUUUUCUGGGGGUGGGUUCGAGUAAGGUAAAGUUUACGCAUGGGUUCGGUCGGUUGGGUCCUACGGCCUUUACUUCCCAGCCAACCAAAACUGAAAAUGGGACAAAUCGGUACCCUUGCAACGGCGUCGUCCCAACACACCAUGUGCUGCCCAGGACAGAAGAUCUAACGCUAUGUCUCGUUCGUCCUUUCUAGUUUCUUCCAUUCCAGUCGCCAGUUAAUCUGAUGAGAAAUGAUCUUAUCCAUUCACCGUUGCAUAAGCCCUUAGCUGCAGGGUUAGGCUUGGAGUAGUGGUCUAGAAAUUGGGUAUGCACCGGAAAUCUGUCCGGUCUGGAUGGUUAAAAUUUGGUCAACUCGAGUAAUGGACGAACACGGGACAGAUCGCAUGGUAUUCACCUCGUCUAAGAAUGUCAUUGUUGUUGGAUUGCGACGGAAUCCAACAACAACCUCAACACAAAACCUUGAACUCAAACUCUUUGACAAGGGGUAGAAAUACAGGAGUAAAUAGCUCGCUGAUAUAAUUAACAAUUCUCUAAGCACAAAUCGGCACACAUUUUAACGAACAAACAAUAUUAAAC